rnacentral:rRNA from 1 species
UACGGGGGGUGCGAGCGUUGUCCGGAAUCACUGGGCGUAAAGGGCGCGUAGGUGGUUUGAUAAGGGUGUGGUGAAAGUCCGGGGCUCAACCCCGGAUCUGCCGUGCCGACUGUCAAACUCGAGGGCUGUAGAGGCAGACGGAAUUCCGGGUGUAGCGGUGGAAUGCGUAGAGAUCCGGAGGAAGACCGGUGGCGAAGGCGGUCUGCUGGGCAGUUUCUGACACUGAGGCGCGGCAGCGUGGGGAGCAAACAGG